AUGGGGGACUGGGGAUGGGUGCUUCCCCGUUCAUCUCAGCGUCGCAGUAUACUGCAAUUUAUACGGUUGGUGGGAGUGAGGAAGAUUCCACCCACGUCUCCGAACCCGACAACCCAACCCACUAAGGUUUCAAGACACCAUCUUAAAUACCGCAAGCUCUGCUCGAACUGAUCUCGCAUAUCCGAGAAACAGUGUCAAAGGAUAAAGCCGAAAGAAAACAAUUGGGAAGA
rnacentral:lncRNA from 1 species